rnacentral:rRNA from 1 species
UACGUAGGGUGCGAGCGUUAAUCGGAAUUACUGGGCGUAAAGCGCACGUAGGUGGCGACGUAAGUCGGGUGUGAAAUCCCUGGGCUCAACCUGGGAACGGCAUUCGAGACUGUGUUGCUGGAGUACGGAAGAGGAGGGCGGAAUUCCCCGGUGUAGCGGUGAAAUGCGUAGAUAUCCGGAGGAACACCGGUGGCGAAGGCGGCUUCCUGGACCGACACUGACGCUGAGGCGCGAAAGCUAGGGGAGCAAACGGG